rnacentral:tRNA from 1 species
GGAGAGAUGGCUGAGUGGUCUAAAGCACUGCACUGCUAACGCAGCGAGGGUAACACCUCCGUUGGUUCGAAUCCAACUCUCUCCG